rnacentral:lncRNA from 1 species
AUGCUAGGAGUGAAAUCGGGAAGACUACGCAUAAAAAAUGCAACACCCAAUCACUACAAAAUCGUACAAAAUCUCGUCGUCACUGAGACUUGGUUAAAUAGUUCUGUUUUCAGUGGAGAGCUGGGUCUGGGUGGUUAUACUGUCUACAGAUCUGAUCGCAUAUAUGAUGAUGAAAUUCAAAGAGGUGGGGGAGUAUUAAUUGCUGUCAAAAAUUCUCUUAAGUCUUGUCGCUUGGUAGUUACUCCUCUUGAAGGCUACUCUAGCCACCUGUUUGUAAAAUUGUCUCUUGCUCCUGUCGUUAUUAUUGGUGGGACGUAUAUUCCCCCCUGCUUGAACUCUUCAGUAUUCAGGGAUCAUUCCCUGGUAGUAAGUACCUUAGCAGAUCAGUGCCCUGGCGCUAAGUUAAUGCUCUUUGGAGAUUAUAAUCUGUCUAAAAUUGCUUGGUCCAGUUCUUUGCCCCUUUGUGCUGAGUGUACAAGUUAUGUGGAUCCUAAUGGUAUUGAUGCUGUAAAUCAUGUAGCAUCCGCGUUUACUUGUUUAAGUUUGAACCAAUGUUUUCCUGCCCAUCCGUCCAAAGGAUACACCUUGGACUUGUUGUUUUCUAAUGUGGAUAGUAUUUCUGUUUCUGACCCACCGGAUGAUUUUGUAUUCAGAUCGAAUGAUAACCAUUGUCCUAAAUUGUUUUCUUUUCCUCUUAAAUCUUUUGCAUCUCUUAAGCCUAAGUUAUUUUAUAAGAACUUCUUUUCUUGUGAUUAUGGCCCAAUUAAAACCAGAUUAUCUGGAAUUGAAUGGUCCUCCUUAUUUAAAGAUAAAUCUCUUGAUGAGAUGGUUGACAUUCUCAGUGAGGAAUUAAAUGAAGUUGUAGCUGAGCUUGUUCCUACUUCUUGUAAGCGCCCCGACGCCAAGUUUCCUGUUUGGUAUGACCAUGAGCUCAUCAAAUUUACAAUGGAUAAAAGAUUCUAUCACUUCUUGUGGAAAUCUAAUGGUGAAAUGAGUGACUACAUUCUAUUUAAGAAACUUAGAGCUCAAUGUAUUCGCAAGUCCCGUGAAUUGUAUAAGAGUUACUUACUCAAGGUGGAGUCUAACUGUAAGUCUAAUUUAAAGGCUUUUUGGUCAUUUGUAAAUAAUUUUAAUAAACUACAAAAACCCUCAAAAACAUUUUUCGGGCAAAAAAUCCGGUCGAGGAAAUUGACGUGUCACUUCCUUUUAAUCAAGUAUAAGAUAGGCAAAAACCUUUGA